rnacentral:tRNA from 2 species
GCCUCUUUAGCUCAGUUGGUAGAGCAGCUGAUUCGUAAUUAGCAGGUCGGGGGUUCAAGUCCCCUGAGAGGCU